rnacentral:lncRNA from 1 species
UCAUUUCUUAAAAAAUAUAGAUGAUAAAAAUAUUUUAAAUAAGCCUAUUGACUUACAUGAAAUAAUAAAGAUAAGGGUCCGGAAGACCUUGUUUCUCAGACUCCUUCUACAUUUGGUGAGAAUGAUUCAAUUGAAUCAAUUAUACCAGAUAGACCUAAAAGAACUAGAGACUCAUCUACGACUUUAGAAGAAUUUUAUGUAUUUAUGAAUGAAGAUAAUUACUUUUCAAUGAGUGAGGAUACAAUAGAUGAACCUUAUAGCUACAGUGAAGCUAUUAGCUCACAUGACUCAGCUGAGUGGACUCAAGCCAUGGAUGAUGAACUUGAUUUUAUUAAAUGAAAUCGGGUCUGGAAGUUGGUUGACCUCCCUAAAGAUAGAAAAG